UAGUUUCUCUAGGCUCUAAAAAUAAUUAAUUUGGGAAAUGUUUGGGGAAACUU
rnacentral:pre_miRNA from 1 species